AACGUAGGACGCAAGCGUUAUCCGGAGUUACUGGGCGUAAAGCGCGUGUAGGCGGCUUGGCAAGUCGGAUGUGAAAGCCCACGGCUCAACCGUGGAAGCGCAUCCGAAACUGCUUCGCUCGAGUCUCGGAGAGGAAGGUGGAAUGCUUGGUGUAGAGGUGAAAUUCGUAGAUAUCAAGCAGAACACCUGCGGCGAAGGCGGCCUUCUGGACGAUGACUGACGCUGAGACGCGAAAGCAUGGGGAGCAAACAGG
rnacentral:rRNA from 1 species